GCUCUCCCACGUCCACCAGGCCCACUGGGUCCUUCCUAGCAGCCCUGGAGAGCCCAGGCCAGCAGCAACACGAUUAUGAAACCUACCACUUAGCAGGCACGUGCCAAGCUUCACCUUGGUAUUUAAUCCCCACAAGGAUGCUAUGAGAGAGAAACCAGCAAAACCCUGGAAUCUUCGGUUGAGGGGAACUGUGGGUUACUUGGUUAAAGUCCUUUACAGCAAUGGGAAAGUGGAGAAAGAGACUUCUAAAAUUGAAGGACUGCUAUGAGCAUUAAUGGAGGUGAAGUCCAUAAAGCACUUGGCCUGGAGCUUGGCACACAACGAGUGCUCCGUAUAAGGAGACCCGCAGUCUUUUGAAUGCUAUGGUCAGGUAUGCGUGGCCCGAGCUCUCCUAGCCCAGGCAGCUUCCAGCUCCCUUACUGGUAGGGAGCUUGUCUUCCCUGGCUCUCCUGGGGGAGCUCUGCAGGAGGGUGACUUGGAGCUGGUGGGGACAAGGAGGCUCGGGGGGUGGGGUUUGGGCGUUAGGUGGUGGUGGUGGGGAGUGCCCAUCCAGCACCCUGGACAGAGCCCG